UACCGUGGCAGCACCCCUCCUAAAUCUUCAUCCAUCCAUCCCCCUCCCAAAUCUUCACCCACCCCCCAAUUUCCUCAUCUCCUCCCCCAGGGGAGAAGCCGUUCCUGUGCGACAAGUGCGGCCGCGGCUUCAACCGGGUGGACAACCUGCGCUCCCACGUGAAGACGGUGCACCAGGGGAAGGCGGGCAUCAAAAUCCUGGAGCCGGAGGAAGGCGACGAGGUCAACAUCGUCACGGUGGCUUCCGAUGACAUGGUGACGCUGGCCACCGAGGCGCUGGCGGCCACCGCUGUCACGCAGCUCACGGUGGUCCCUGUGGCAGCCGCGGUGACGGCGGACGAGACCGAAGCACUUAAAGCCGAGAUCACCAAAGCGGUGAAGCAAGUGCAAGAAGCAGGUGAGAAGGGGAUGGGGAAAAGGAGCGGGGUGGGGGGGUCAGCCUGUUCCUGCUCCCCACCCCAUAAUCUUGAGAGCAGUCCUGAGGAGGACUUGGGGAUGUUGAUGGAUGAGAAGGUCAACAUGAGCUGGAAACCUGCUCUGGCAGCCCAGAAAGCCCCCCACGUCCUGGGCUGCAUCCCCAGCAGCGUGGGCAGCAGGGCGAGGGGGGGGAUUCUGCCCCUCUGCUCUGGGGUGACACCCCCCCUAGUGCUGUCUUCCAGCUCUGGGGCCACCAACAGCAGAAGGACACGGAGCUGUUGGAGCGGGGCCAGAGGAGGCCCUGGAGAUGCUGGGAGGGCUGGAGCCCCUCUGCUGGGAGGGGGGGCUGAGAGAGUUGGGGGGGUUCAGCCUGGAGAAGAGAAGGCUCCGGGGAGACCUUAGGGACUGGAAGGGGCUCUAAAGGGGCUCCAGGAGAGAUGGGGAGGGACUCUGGAUCAGGGAGGGGAGCCCUAGGAGGAGGGGAAAGGGUUUGACACUGAAAGAGGGAAGAUUGAGAUGGGAUCUGGGGAAGAACUUGUUUGCUGUGAGGGUGGUGAGAGCCUGGCCCAGGUUGCCCAGAGAAGCUGUGGCUGCCCCAUCCCUGGAGGGGUUCAAGGGCAGGUUGGAGGGGGCUUGGAGGGACCUGGUGUGGUGGGAGGUGUCCCUGCCCA
rnacentral:lncRNA from 1 species